CUCCACUGUACUGUCCAGCAACAAGGAAGAGGCACUGCCGGAAGACAGCAAGGGAGCGAAAGGGAGAAACAGAGAGAGAGAAGACAGUGCUUCCUUGAUUUCCUGAUUAUACAUUUUGCCCAGGGUUCCUUGAGUUUUAAUAAUAAAAUCCCUUUUGCUUGUUUCCAGAAAGUUUCUAUUUCUUACAAUCAAAGGAUCCCCUAUUUCAAACACUUAGCACCCUACCCAGUAUUUAGUGAGUUCUCUUCAUGUGCUUGUUGUUUUCUUAUUGUGCUAAGGGAUUUAUUGAGAUUCAUCGAAAGUCCUUGGAGAAUAGAAAGGAAAGUAGGAAGAAGGUAAUGAUGUAGUCCCCAGCUGGUGCAAUUGUGGAGGAUCUUAAAAAUGGGUGAUAUUUGGACAGGUAGAAGUGGAAGCCAGAGAAUCCAUACAGAAGGAAAGGCCAGCAAAAGCAAAUGGGAGGGCUUCAUUGGGGAGGGAGGAAUUUGGGAGCUGGGAUAAGGUGCAUUUUGGAAAAGAUGCUGGGCUUGGCUUAGAGGGGCUUCAUAUUCCACAUGAUGUGAUUUUCCUCUAUUCAGAAAGGUUUUCGGCGGAAGCAAUAGGGACCAAGAGACAGCUUUCUUUUUUCUUUUCUUUUUUUUUUUUUUUAACCAGAAAAGUGACAACUUAAAAACUUUCUUUAAACAUAUCACUCUGACACCAAUGUGUAAGAUGAAGUGGACAGGAAUGGAACUGUACUGGGAGGCUCUGACAGUUCGGGUGAGAAGAAAUGAAGGGUCCUGUAAGCAGAUGAGCAGAUGAACAGAAGAGCAGAAGAGCAGCACAGCCGAGAAGGAAUGAAUGGCACAGCAGAGAAGGAGAGAAGAGAAGGAGCAUCUGAACGUUGAGAGUUCAACUAGAAAUGGUCAGAGAGGAGACUGAUCAUGGGAUAGCCAAACUCCAGGAGAAGAUUAUGUUCCCACUCCAUCCCCUUUCCAGAUCCCCAAUCCAUCCCUCUGAGAGCCACCUCUACCACUCGAUAAAACCCCUGCAUUUACCAUCC
rnacentral:lncRNA from 10 species